GGGCCACCUGACAUGUGACCUCUUUGGGGAACUGCCGGAACUGCGUUCCUGCGCAUUCCCCCUCGAAAUGAGCCCUGAUUAUACUAUAAACCAUAAUGAAGCUUCUACUGAGAACAAUAAUUGUUAUUGUGUUCAGAUAAUUUUUGUUGGUGAAAUUGUGGUGACGGAAGUCCAAGAAUUCUUAAUGCAGUAAUGUGGGUGGCUCUCAGAACGGUCCUUGUAAGUUCAGUAUAAUCGGUCUUAACUCCUCACUGAAUAACUUCUGCUUUGGUGUCUCUCUCUCUAGGUUCAUCAACAAGAUGGCAAGACACUGCUCCACAAUUGCAUCCGUACCAGCCACCUUCCCCACAAUUUCACCAACGGAAAUUUGUAGCAAAACGUCUUAUAUUUAUCAACUAUUUAUUAUGGGCUGACCUUUUGUAAUAUUUAUUGUAAUAUUUAUUCCAGUAUUUAUUAUAUUUUUCUUCUUGCAGUCUUGGUCAAUGGAGAUUAACACGUACCCAUGGAUAGAAAUGAAAGACCAUUCAUUGUAGAUUUGGGAAUGAAACCUCCAGUGAAAAAUCAUUGAACAAUUUCAGAGUAUGCUGGUGGCUGGCAAUAGUGACUAAUUGUAUUUCCUAUAGUAUUUAUCAAAUAUUCAUUGUUAGAUAUAUUUGAGCACCUUGCACUUUAAAAUUGUAAAAAGACUAAAAAUACUUUGUAAGUCUUAACAGACAACAAUUCCCUGCUGUAUAUAUCCUCAGGAAUGAGAAACUUUUAGUAAAAUUCUAAGAGUUACUCCCGUCUAAGCUCAUUGAAGUCUGGAUUAACUUUGCUUGGGAUUUCUCUGUUAUUUUAUUAACUUCUUUUCUAACAACUUAAGGAGGGUCAACUGCUCCCCCAGCCCAGUUACCAACAUGGCCAUCUGUUACUGCUAAUGAAGUGAUGUUUUUCAUGUGCCAUCUGUGUCAUACUUGAUUCUUAACAAGCUGGUUAAGUAGCCCUGUCCUAGUGGGCUAAAAUUUGGGCCCCUCUUUUUACAUAUAUACAUUCCUCCAGGAAAAUCUCCAAUACCUGGAAACAUUCGAUAACAGUCCCACCCUACAUGCUAUCUCUUAGUUUACUCAUUUCUUUAGGAAAGCUGUAAACUUAUUUACAUCUUAAGCCUUUGAAUUGGGUUGAAGAGCACGAGGUUUGUGGCUGGGAACAAACUGGGUUUAAAAGAGGUUCUUUGAGAUCAUUGUUUUUGUUCUUAUCAGCUAGCUGAGAGAUAUAUUUGUUUAGGUGGUUAUCUUUUUGCGGGCUUUAUGGGUCUCAAGGGGGCUUUUGACUCAAUCUGCUGAGCAAGACUGUGGGCUAAAUUAGCAACUGCCUCUAUUGACAGCUGUCUGUUGUGGCUUAUCUAUCUACUCCAUACAGAUCUCACUGCUCCGGCACAAUGUGGCCUUGAAGGCCAACAGUCUUGAUUGUUUAAUUUAGAUACAGGAGUGAGGCAAGGGUGCCUUUUAGCCCCUAUAUUGUUCAAUCUUUCUAAACAACCCGUCUUCAUUCUUUCCUGAGUCCGCUGACCCACCUAAGUGGCUAGCCGCAGCCUCCCAAUUCUUCUUUAUUCAGAUGACACGGUUCUUGUCUCCCAGAGCAGGAUGGGGCUUCUGGGAGCACUAAGAAUUUUUUCACAUUAUAGUUCGAAGGUGGGCUUGAAUAUUAAUUAGAAAAAGAAACCCCCUUCUUCAAUGGGCUCUUGGAUAGUCUUUUGCUCAAUCAGGUGAAGGAAUGUAGGUAUUUGUGUAUUCUUUUUAAACUCGAGUUAUCUUGGAAUAAGCCAGCAUCCAAUAAGGCCAAAUCCAGUGCAGGGGCAAUUUUAAUUUUUUUCUUGUUCUAAAGGUGGAUGUUCUGCUUCAGGAGGGGCUGCUGGGGGCUGCUGAGUUAACUCCGGCAGAUAACGAGAGCCAGCUUAUCAGAGGCAGGAUGCCAGAGCUGCAUGAACAGAGUCCGUAUCUUGCCCAAGAGUUGUCCAUCAAGCCUCAGGGAAUGCAGUGAAGCUAGCCUGAAGGGCCUCUCCCUCAUACUCUUACACGCUGCAAGUCCUACGUCACGCCUGCAACAGCUGUUCCAAUCUCCUCUGGUGCUGUUCCUCCUUCCUCUGCAGCGGAUUGCUGGUGCUGAGCUCUGAGGCAUGCUGGGCUGGGUCACCUGACCUGGGUCUAGGGAUGCCAGCCUCCAGGUGGUGGCUGGAGAUCUCGCAUAAUUACAACUGAUCUCCAGGUGAUAGAGAUCAGUUCCCCUGGAGAAAAUGGCUAAUUUGGAGGGUGGACGCUAUCUUCUUACUAUAUAAUUCACUUAGUGUCUUUCCGACGACUCACAGGUUUAUCUCUGCGCAGGCGCCCUGGCAGGAAUAAAAAGGCCAACUCGUCCCUGGAGGCUUCAUGCUGCUGCAGGAGGAGGUGGCAGGAGAACGGCUGGAAGGAGCCUUUUCUUGAGGCCAGUAAGGUGGAGCUCCCUCGGGAGCUGGAGUUAGCCCUGCCCUGCCCCGCCCAGCUCACUACCCCUCCUGCUGAAGGCUGCUCCGAGCCCUCCCGGCUCAGGCCAGCUGCUGCCACUCAGCCCCCUGGGCGGGAUACAAGCUCUACUCGCCCCCGAGAGGAAGGCAGCGGCGACCCCCAGGGCAGCCCCAUCGGGGGAGAGCUGGACUCUGGCAUUGCUAGAGCAACAGGAACCGGGCAUUGCUGGGAUUGACUUUCCCGGGGAUAGUCAACCAGUGGGAGGAAAGAGUGCCAAUUACGUCGGCUGUUGCUAGGCAGAUCUAGCCCGGGCCCAAGAAGGAAAAUCCCAGAAAACAUUCACAACAGAGUUUGCAGAACUCGUUUCUGCACCAGCCUGCCCCCCUCUCAAACGUUUGCAACCGCCCUUCAGAGGAGUCAUGUAGCAAAUCAGAAGGGAAGAGGAAACCUUUGCUUUCAACUACUCAGGAGAAGAAAUAGAAGUGGCCAUAGAUCCUCUCAUGGCAUGCGAGGAGGAGAUUUUAUUGCGUCUACAAGAACAGGAGGAUUUGCCUGGCUUUACCUUCCAAGAAGUUUAUUCUGUGUUAAGCAAGUGGGAUUCCUGUGGAGGCUUCGUACCAGACCUGUGUUUAUUAGAUAAAAAAAGUUGAGAUCUUCUAGUGGCUUUGUGCCUGAGAAGAUUUCCUUAUCUGUGCAGGAAAGAGGAUUGUAAAGACAACCUAAAGACUUCUCAUGUAUUAUUGUAUCUAAACCAGAGUGGAGUCCUGUGCAGCCUUCACGGCUGACAACAUUUCAAUGCAACUGACAGAAGCAGGAGUCUUGUGGCUUUCACAGGAAUUGAACCUGCGACCUCUGCAUCCAAAGCAGAACAAAUAACAGCUUGUCUGUAUAUGGAUGAGAGAAGGGGAGUCUGCCGAGUGCUUCACCAUGGAAUUGCCCACCCAGAGAUCUCAACUAACUAGUUGGAGGUGGUGUAAUCUAAGUGGGCAGAUUCUCCAAGGUGAUAACAGCAGUCUAGAAAAUCAUGUUGAAAAUGGAGUUGAAGCUGAAGAGCCUAAUGGGUUUUGCCAGCAUAUCGCACAACCCGUUUCACAAUGAACUUUUUCAAAGGCUCAGAUUCAACAAACCAUUCACUGUAAUAAA